AGUGAACGCUGGCGGCAGGCCUAACACAUGCAAGUCGAACGAACAUAUCGGGGGUAGUGGCGGCCGGGUGAGUAACAGGUGGGAACGUGCCCGUAGGUGCGGAAUAACUCAGGGAAACUUGUGCUAAUAGCGAAUGUGCCCUUCGGGGGAAUGAUUUAUCGCCUGUAGGGCGGCACGGGUCUGAUUAGACAGUUGGGUGAGGUAAUGGCGCACCAAGGCGACGAUCAGUAGCUGGUCUGAGAGGAUGUUCAGCCACAUUCGGAGUGAGACACGGCCCAAACUUCUACGGCAGGGAGCAGUAGCCUAUCGUGCGCAAUGCGCGAGAGUCAGACGCAGCUAUGCCGCGUGAAUGAUGAAUGUCUGAGGAUUGUAAAAUUCUUUCAACAGGGACGAUAAUUACGGGACCCGGAGAAGAAACCCCCGGCUAACUCCUGC
rnacentral:rRNA from 1 species